GCUGGGUGUGGUGGCUCACACCUGUAAUCCCAAUACCUUGGGAGGCUGAGGUGGGUGAAUCACUUGAGGCCAGGAGUUUGAGACCAGCCUGGCCAAUAUGGUGAAACCCCAUCUCUA
rnacentral:SRP_RNA from 1 species